AAAUUGAAGAGUUUGAUCAUGGCUCAGAUUGAACGCUGGCGGCAGGCCUAACACAUGCAAGUCGAACGGUAACAGGAAACAGCUUGCUGUUUCGCUGACGAGUGGCGGACGGGUGAGUAAUGUCUGGGAAACUGCCCGAUGGAGGGGGAUAACUACUGGAAACGGUAGCUAAUACCGCAUAACGUCGCAAGACCAAAGAGGGGGACCUUCGGGCCUCUUGCUAUCGGAUGUGCCCAGAU
rnacentral:rRNA from 1 species